rnacentral:lncRNA from 1 species
UUAAUUGUUUAGUAGCUCAAGUUAUUUGGAAAAUAACGAUUGUUCAAAUAAUAUUUAAGUAGGGCUGUUGUGCUCUCAGGAGCACGGAGGCCUCUGUGCUUCUGAGCCGUUUUCGAUGAUGGAAUUUUCGAAUCGACGAUCGGCUCCGUUAGACUUGAUCUAGGGUGUUUGAAGUUUCUAGAAAAUAAUUUUUGCGAUUUUUUGAUAUCAUUUACCUAGUGAUCGAAAGGAUUCAAAAUCAAUAAUUUUUAAGGGUUGAUAUCUGCCGUUUUCAAGUUUAACGGUGUAGAAGUAUUCAAAUCAGAUGAAAUUUUGAGACAAAAUUCUUUAUACUAUCCAAAACAAGAUCAAUAUUUCUGAUCGAAAAUUUUAGUGCUAUAUCACCACUUUUUAUAGGAUUUUUAUUUUCAGCCGUUAAAAAUUAUUGAUUUUGAAUCCUUUCGAUUGCUAGGUAAAUGAUAUCGAAAAAUCGCAAAAAUUAUUUUCUAGAAACUUUAAAUACGCUAGAUCAAGUCUAACGGAGCCGAUCGUCGAUUCGAAA